AGCGAACGCUGGCGGCAGGCCUAACGCAUGCAAGUCGAACGAACCCUUCGGGGUUAGUGGCGGACGGGUGAGUAACACGUGGGAACGUGCCUUUAGGUUCGGAAUAACUCAGGGAAACUUGUGCUAAUACCGAAUGUGCCCCUCGGGGGAAAGAUUUAUCGCCUUUAGAGCGGCCCGCGUCUGAUUAGCUAGUUGGUGAGGUAAUGGCUCACCAAGGCUACGAUCAGUAGCUGGUCUGAGAGGAUGACCAGCCACAUUGGGACUGAGACACGGCCCAAACUCCUACGGGAGGCAGCAGUGGGGAAUCUUGCGCAAUGGGCGAAAGCCUGACGCAGCCAUGCCGCGUGGAUGAUGAAGGUCUUAGGAUUGUAAAAUCCUUUCACCGGUGAAGAUAAUGACUGUAGCCGGAGAAGAAGCCCCGGCUAACUCCGUGCCAGCAGCCGCCGUAACAC
rnacentral:rRNA from 1 species